CGUAACAAGGUCUCCGUUGGUGAACCAGCGGAGGGAUCAUUACCGAGUUUACAACUCCCAAACCCAAUGUGAACCAUACCAAACUGUUGCCUCGGCGGGGUCACGCCCCGGGUGCGUCGCAGCCCCGGAACCAGGCGCCCGCCGGAGGGACCAACCAAACUCUUUUCUGUAGUCCCCUCGCGGACGUUAUUUCUUACAGCUCUGAGCAAAAAUUCAAAAUGAAUCAAAACUUUCAACAACGGAUCUCUUGGUUCUGGCAUCGAUGAAGAACGCAGCGAAAUGCGAUAAGUAAUGUGAAUUGCAGAAUUCAGUGAAUCAUCGAAUCUUUGAACGCACAUUGCGCCCGCCAGUAUUCUGGCGGGCAUGCCUGUCCGAGCGUCAUUUCAACCCUCGAACCCCUCCGGGGGGUCGGCGUUGGGGACCUCGGGAGCCCCUAAGACGGGAUCCCGGCCCCGAAAUACAGUGGCGGUCUCGCCGCAGCCUCUCCUGCGCAGUAGUUUGCACAACUCGCACCGGGAGCGCGGCGCGUCCACGUCCGUAAAACACCCAACUUCUGAAAUGUUGACCUCGG
rnacentral:rRNA from 1 species